rnacentral:rRNA from 1 species
UGAUCCUACGGGACGCAGCAGUGAGGAAUAUUGGUCAAUGGCCGCAGGGCUGAACCAGCCAAGUCGCGUGAGGGAUGACGGUCCUAUGGAUUGUAAACCUCUUUUGUCAGGGAGCAAAGUCACCCACGUGUGGGUGUUGGAGAGUACCUGAAGAAAAAGCAUCGGCUAACUCCGUGCCAGCAGCCGCGGUAAUACGGAGGAUGCGAGCGUUAUCCGGAUUUAUUGGGUUUAAAGGGUGCGUAGGCGGGUUAUCAAGUCAGCGGUAAAAUCGUGGAGCUCAACUCCAUCCAGCCGUUGAAACUGAU